UUCAUUGAGGAUGUGCUCAGGGUACUUGUAAGUGCCGCCAUACCAUGCUCACAACUCACUAGCCCAUCUUUGGAUCACAGGGGGAACAUAUAAACUCUUUACAGACUACAGUGGAAUUGAAGCCCAGCCUUUCAGCUGCAACUGUGAAAAGGCAUUCAUGGUAGAACAAAGAAAUACAACAGAAUCAACAAAAGAACUACACACAAAGACUGAUGAACAACCAAUGUGCAAAAGAAAAUAAAUUGCGCAAACACAAAGGCGGGGAGGAGAAAAGGGACAUAAAUAAAUGGAUGAUGCUAAGAACGUGAGUUGAAGAGUCUUUAAAACUCCUGUACCCCUUCCCGGAUGGUAGUAAUGAGAAAAGGCAUGUCCUGGACGGUGGGUGUCCUUAGUAAUGGAUGCUGCCUUUUUGAGUCAUCCACCAUUAGGGUCAAACAGAUGAAGAAAAUAGAGAAAAAAAGAGUGACAAAGCUUUCUCCAUGUGUUAUAAAUGUGAAGUGUUCAGUAAUUUAAAAAAAUGCUCAACUGUAUAUUUACAUAACAAAUUAAACAUUUUCAAUCUCAUUGAAUACAGCUGAUAGAAAAUGCAUAUCUAAAUCUUAAGAAUAGAAUAUGAUGAA